GGAUAAGUGGUAGAGAGGCCGAAUACACUUCCCUGCUAAGGAAGCAUCCGGGCAUAAACCUGGAUCGUGGGUUCAAAUCCCACCUUGUCCG
rnacentral:tRNA from 1 species